UACAGAGGUCCCAAGCGUUGUUCGGAUUCAUUGGGCGUAAAGGGUGCGUAGGUGGUGCCGUAAGUCAGGUGUGAAAUCUCGGGGCUCAACCCCGAAACUGCACUUGAUACUGCGGUGCUCGAGGACUGGAGAGGAGAUUGGAAUUCAUGGUGUAGCAGUGAAAUGCGUAGAUAUCAUGAGGAAGACCAGUGGCGAAGGCGGAUCUCUGGACAGUUCCUGGACACUGAGGCACGAAGGCCAGGGGAGCAAACGGG
rnacentral:rRNA from 1 species